GGACCUCAGAUCAGGCAAGAUUACCCGCUGAGUUUAA
rnacentral:rRNA from 1 species